rnacentral:rRNA from 1 species
GACGUAGGGCGCGAGCGUUGUCCGGAUUUAUUGGGCAUAAAGAGCUCGUAGGCGGCUUGUCACGUCGACCGUGAAAACUUGGGGCUCAACCCCAAGCCUGCGGUCGAUACGGGCAGGCUCGAGUUCGGUAGGGGAGACUGGAAUUCCUGGUGUAGCGGUGAAAUGCGCAGAUAUCAGGAGGAACACCUAUGGCGAAGGCAGCUCUCUGGGACGGUACUGACGCUGAGACGCGAAAGCGUGGGGAGCGAACAGG